rnacentral:rRNA from 1 species
GGAGAAAGAAUGAAGAUUUAUCGGAAUUCUUUCUUAGCGGCGGACGGGUGAGUAACGCGUGGGCAACCUGCCCUAUACAGGGGGAUAACACGGAGAAAUUCGUGCUAAUACCGCAUAACAUCAUUUUGUUGCAUGAGCAUAACAACGAAAUGUUCUGGCGCUCCAGGAUGGGCCCGCGUCCCAUUAGCUUGUUGGUAGGGUAACGGCCUACCAAGGCGACGAUGGGUAGCCGGCCUGAGAGGGUGAACGGCCACACUGGGACUGAGAUACGGCCCAGACUCCUACGGGAGGCAGCAGUGGGGAAUAUUGCGCAAUGGGCGAAAGCCUGACGCAGCAACGCCGCGUGGAGGAUGAAGGUUUUCGGAUUGUAAACUCCUUUCAGCAGGGACGAAGGUUACCUUUGGUAACUGACGGUACCUGCAAAAGAAGCCCCGGCUAACUACGUGCUAAUACGUAGGGGGCAAGCGUUGUCCGGAAUUAUUGGGCGUAAAGCGCGCGCAGGCGGCCCGUUAAGUCAGAUGUGAAAUCCCUCGGCUCAACCGAGGACCUGCAUUUGAAACUGACAGGCUAGAGUACAGGAGAGGGAAGCGGAAUUCCUAAUGUAGCGGUGAAAUGCGCAGAUAUUAGGAAGAACACCGGUGGCGAAGGCGGCUUCCUGGACUGUUACUGACGCUGAGGUGCGAAAGCUAGGGGAGCAAACAGGAUUAGAUACCCUGGUAGUCCUAGCCGUAAACGAUGGGCACUAGGUGUAGGGGGUAUCAACUCCCUCUGUGCCGAAGCUAACGCAUUAAGUGCCCCGCCUGGGGAGUACGGCCGCAAGGCUAAAACUCAAAGGAAUUGACGGGGGCCCGCACAAGCGGCGGAGCAUGUGGCUUAAUUCGACGCAACGCGAAGAACCUUACCAGAACUUGACAUCGUGCGAAUUACCGGUAAUGCGGGAAGCCCUUCGGGGCGGAGUGACAGGUGCUGCAUGGUUGUCGUCAGCUCGUGUCGUGAGAUGUUGGGUUAAGUCCCGCAACGAGCGCAACCCUUAUUGUUAGUUGCCAUCAUUAAGUUGGGCACUCUAAUGAGACUGCCGGGGACAACUCGGAGGAAGGUGGGGAUGACGUCAAAUCAUCAUGCCCCUUAUGUUCUGGGCUACACACGUGCUACAAUGGGUAUUAACAACGAGAAGCAAGCUAGUGAUAGCAAGCAAACCUCUGAAAUAUACCCUCAGUUCAGAUUGUAGGCUGAAACUCGCCUACAUGAAGUCGGAGUUGCUAGUAAUCGCGGAUCAGCAUGCCGCGGUGAAUACGUUCCCGGGCCUUGUACACACCGCCCGUCACACCAUGGGAGUUGGAAGCACCCGAAGCCGGUGACUUAACCGA